rnacentral:rRNA from 1 species
UCCGUAGGUGAACCUGCGGAGGGAUCAUUACCGAGUUCAUGCCCUUACGGGUAGACCUCCCACCCUAUGUUAUAUUACCUUUGUUGCUUUGGCGGGCCGCCCGGCUUCGGCCAGGCUACCGGCUCCAGCUGGUAAGCGCUCGCCAGAGGACCCUCAACUCUGAAUAUCAGUGUCGUCCGAGUACUAUAAAAUAGUUAAAACUUUCAACAACGGAUCUCUUGGUUCUGGCAUCGAUGAAGAACGCAGCGAAAUGCGAUAAGUAAUGUGAAUUGCAGAAUUCAGUGAAUCAUCGAAUCUUUGAACGCACAUUGCGCCCCUUGGUAUUCCGAGGGGCAUGCCUGUUCGAGCGUCAUUACAACCCUCAAGCACUGCUUGGUAUUGGGCUCCGCUGGCUCCAGCGGGCCUUAAAAUCAGUGGCGGCGCCGUUUGGGCUCUGAGCGUAGUAAAUAUCCUCGCUAUAGAGACCAGGCGGUUCUUGUCAUCAACCCCCAACUUUCUAAGUUUGACCUCGGAUCAGGUAGGGAUACCCGCUGAACUUAAGCAUAUCAAUAAGGCGGGAGGGGAAGGUCGGACUGGCCAAGGGCACACAGGGGGGGAUA